UAUUUUAAUCACAACCGAUUUAGUGGAAGUUGGUUUUGCUGCUUGGGUCGAGUCUCGCCGUCAGGGGAAGGGAAGCGUCGCACGUUCAACCGCACGCGCUGACACCUGUGUGAUGUGAAGCUCGGAGCGUGGGCGGCGGCGGCGGGGAGCACGGGUGCCUUGCUCAAAGGCUCACACCGAGGCGAACUCGUGCUUCAAACAGAGGCCCGCCUCUCCGGCCUUUUGGGCCAGCACACUUAGAAGCUGACACAUGUAUUUGUAAUGGAAGGAAACUGGGCCUCUCCCUCCCUCUCUCUCUCCCUGUGGACGGGGCGCGACCACAAGUAUGAGCGGAGAGAAGUCCAGGCAGAGUGCAGCACAAUUUUUAGAAUCUCUUGGUUGCAUAAUAGACUUCUACAGUGCAACAAGCAGCCUAUUCCCGUCUACUACACAUGUAAAAUAGGCGGUUCAGAGCCUGCUGGGCCCUUAUGACCCACUUUUGUGUUGUCUUGAAAAACUAUGCAAAACUUCACCUAAGCAUUGGGAACGUGUCACUCCUGAAAACUGAAAUAUUAUUAGUAUAAACACGUGAAUUCAUAUCGUCGAGCUUCUCUUCAGCUUCGCUAGAAUGUUUUCCCCUGUCAGAGCGCAGACUGCAGGAAUGUGGGUUUGCAACUGGAGCAGCAGAGCAACACUGCCUCCACGCGGACGAAAAUGGAACUGCACCCUCCCCUAGGCCGCGGGCGCCCUCUGCUGAGCAGAGCUGGGGCCAGAUCACACCGCCGGGUAAGGAACGCCAGUCGUCCCCUACAGAUGAUUUGUUUGUUUCAUCUGCAAAACCGGUUUCCUCAAUCUCUCCUCUUAAUAACAAAGCCACUACAGUCCCUUCUUUGUUCGGGCCACAGAGUGCAGCGCAGUUGUAAUAAGCUGCCCCUGUCUCAGCAUGAUGUAACCUUCCCAGGAUGGCAGAAUGUUCACAUGAAAAUGUCAAACUACUCCACUCUGCUGCUGGAGGUAUGUCAAGUUUUAAAAAACCACAGUGGAAAGACUGCAGCGCUGGCAGCAGGGAACGAGACUCUAUAUCAGGGCUCUGAAAGGCAGAUAUUUUGGUCAGCAGGGUGUAAAAGCAUCACGCAACACAUAUCACGAGUAAUUACCGGUUUCUGCGACACUGGUAACCAUUAGGUCUUUUCCAUAUAGAUCAUAAUUUGAAGAGGGGUUAUAAAAAUGAUUUUACUUUGAGAGACAUGAUUCAAUAUUUUCUUGUGCUGAGUGGUUUGGUUGAAGAAGGAAUUACUGACUAAAAAAAAAAAAAAAAAAAAAAAAGGAAGGAAAA